UGCUUUGCGCAGAGGCGAUAACGUAACCAAUGAGGUUCUACAGAGGUGCGAUUAUUGCUAGUUGAAAACUUUAACCAAUACCCCGCCAUGGCGACGUGAAAUACCGUCCACUACGGCAAUUUUUGGAAGCCCGAGAUAUGCUAUAUAUCCGUGAUUGGCUAAUGUGCCCAUUUUGGG